UGGAUUCAGCGGCGGACGGGUGAGUAAUGCCUAGGAAUCUGCCUGGUAGUGGGGGAUAACGUCCGGAAACGGGCGCUAAUACCGCAUACGUCCUGAGGGAGAAAGUGGGGGAUCUUCGGACCUCACGCUAUCAGAUGAGCCUAGGUCGGAUUAGCUAGUUGGUGGGGUAAAGGCCUACCAAGGCGACGAUCCGUAACUGGUCUGAGAGGAUGAUCAGUCACACUGGAACUGAGACACGGUCCAGACUCCUACGGGAGGCAGCAGUGGGGAAUAUUGGACAAUGGGCGAAAGCCUGAUCCAGCCAUGCCGCGUGUGUGAAGAAGGUCUUCGGAUUGUAAAGCACUUUAAGUUGGGAGGAAGGGCAGUAAGUUAAUACCUUGCUGUUUUGACGUUACCAACANAAUAAGCACCGGCUAACUUCGUGCCAGCAGCCGCGGUAAUACGAAGGGUGCAAGCGUUAAUCGGAAUUACUGGGCGUAAAGCGCGCGUAUGUGGUUCAGCAAGUUGGAUGUGAAAUCCCCGGGUUCAACCUGGGAACUGCAUCCAAAACUACUGAGUUAGAGUACGGUAUAGGGUGG
rnacentral:rRNA from 1 species